rnacentral:rRNA from 1 species
GCCUACGGGGGGCAGCAGUGGGGAAUAUUGCACAAUGGGGGGAACCCUGAUGCAGCGACGCCGCGUGGGUGAAGGAGUACUUCGGCACGUAAAGCCCUAUCAGCAGGAAAGAAAAUGACGGUACCUGACUAAGAAGCCCCGGCUAACUACGUGCCAGCAGCCGCGGUAAUACGUAGGGGGCAAGCGUUAUCCGGAUUUACUGGGUGUAAAGGGAGCGUAGACGGCAGUGCAAGUCCGGAGUGAAAGCCCGGGGCUCAACCCUGGGACUGCUCUGGAAACUGCAAAGCUGGAGGGCGGGAGGGGCA